CUUCGUUUUUUGAACUCUACAAGAUUCUCCAACGUAGGAUUUCGACGAAAUUUAUUUAGAGCUUUUUUCUUUAAUGCUAUUUUUUCUUUGAUUUCAGGUGACCACCACGGGACCAUCUUUCGCCUAUUGCCAGGUUUAGAUUUAGAUAUGCUGGCGUCAGCGGCGUUUAUGAUGGAAGAGGUAAUGGUUUUAACAUUUAGAUUGUCUUGAUUAGGAGGGACGAGGACUUGUGUGAAGAGUUCCCAAUUUGCUAAUUGGAUUUUAUAUUUAGCUAUCGUUUUUAUUGGAAGAUUAUGACCCCUGACUGUGAUAAUAAUGGGAAAAUGGUCACUAUGAUGUAGAUCAUCUUCCCCCUCCCAUUUCAGGCUAGUAUGUAUACCUGGUGAACAUACUGAUACAUCGAUGGAGUCAAAUGUGCCUGAUCCUGCAUUGAAAAAUGUAGCGGAGCCAUCAUUUACAUCAUUUGAUCUGGAGCCCCAAACGGUGUUGUGGGAAUUAAAAUCCCCAACAAGAAUAAAUGGUGGUGGAAGCUGCCCAAUAAUUUUUCGAAUUUCUUCGACAUCAUAAUUUGUAUUGGGAGUGUAAAUAUUACAAAGUGUACACGAUCUACUAAUUUCAAGUUUAACGGCUACAGCCUGGUAAGUUGUAUGUAAUUUAACUUGUUUAUAAGGUGUUCCUUUGUGAAUGAGAAAUGCUACCCCUCCACAGGCUCUUGCAGGUUUUAAAUGUGUUUCCUGAAUGGCAACACACAGUGGUGUGUGCCUUUGUAUAAGUAGUUUUAGUUCAUUUAAGUUGUUGGAUAGUCCUCUACAAUUCCAUUGUAUAAUGUUUGUACCCCUUUCGAAGAUUUUUGUAUAUAAAGACAAUCACGGUGAGAUAAAUAACAUAAAUAAAUAACAAAUAACAAUGUAUAUGGGACUAUUACAAAUAA